GACGAACGCUGGCGGCGUGCUUAACACAUGCAAGUCGAACGGAAAGGCCCUGCUUUUUUGGGGUGCUCGAUUGGCGAACGGGUGGGUAACACGUGAGUAACCUGCCCUUGACUUUGGGAUAACUUCAGGAAACUGGGCCUAAUACCGGAUAGGAGCUCCUGCUGCAUGGUGGGGGUGGGAAAGUUUCGGCGGUUGGGGAUGGACUCGCGGCUUAUCAGCUUGUUGGUGGGGUAGUGGCUUACCAAGGCUUUGCCGGGUAGCCGGCCUGAGAGGGUGACCGGCCACAUUGGGACUGAGAUACGGCCCAGAAUCCUACGGGAGGCAGCAGUGGGGAAUAUUGCACAAUGGGCGGAAGCCUGAUGCAGCAACGCCGCGUGCGGGAUGACGGCCUUCGGGUUGUAAACCGCUUUCGCCUGUGACGAAGCGUGAGUGACGGUAAUGGGUAAAGAAGCACCGGCUAACUACGUG
rnacentral:rRNA from 1 species